GGAUGUGAGGGCGAUCUGGCUGUGACAUCUGUCACCCCAUUGUAAGCCAAGGUUGAUUCAGCUGCUCUGGCUGGCUAGGCUGGUGUCCCCUUCCUCCCUCGCUGCUCCAUGUGCAUCCCUCCCAAAGCUGUGCGCUCUGUCGAAGAGGACGACCAACCCCGAUAAAGGAGGACUGUUUCCUCAGUCAAGGGUAUAUGAGUAGCUGCGCUCCCCUGCUAGAACCUCCAAACAAGCUCUCAAGGUCCAUAUUUUCUUGGAGGAGGACAGUCUAGUCCCUAGCAUACCUUAUCCACUCUAAGAGUGCUCCCUCUUUGCUGCUGGCUCUGAAGA
ensembl:misc_RNA 7SK 7SK RNA